UCGAAGGUUGUUUGUUUAAGUAAAUAUUGAACAUCCGAUUAUAAAUUAUUUGAUAAAAUUCAAGGUCGUGGGAAUUGUCCUUUAUUUAUGUAAAUAUAUCGUUAAUAUGUUAUUCGUUAUUCGACCUUCAAGACUGUUAUAUUAAGUUUUAAAUCCGUUCAUCGUGCUUGCGACGAAGGACUCGGCGAGUAAAUUAACCCACAGACACAGUCCACUGAGUUUCUCGCCGGAUCUUCUCAGUGGGUCACGUUUCCGAUCCGGUGGUAGAUUCUGCGAAGCACUGCUCUUGCUAGGGCCAGUGUUGGCAAUACCUCCUGGUUUCAGCCCCGGGAGCUCACCUACACGCUAGGUUAACGCUGUUAUAGCCUCUCAAGGUUAUCAGCAUAGGUAGAAAAAAGAAAGAAACGAAGGCGUGAGUUUACUUCCAAAGGUCUGAGAAUUCACAGUCAAAAUACGCAUCAGCGACAAUCUAAUUUAUAAAGAAUAUCUCGAGAAACAGAGGUCGUUAUCGGGGGCAGUAGUCCUACGAGCUCGCGGAUUCGUACCCGCGGGAAGCUAUUUACGUUCCCGUGAGAAAUUGAUUCUCCUGGGAAUUUUUGGUGUGAGAAUUGUAACAAAAAAAAGUUUCAACAGAUAAAAAUAUUUUUUGUUCGAUUUUUUUUUUGGUGUUGUGUUUUCAAAGGAAUAUAAAUACAAAAUGGAUUA